UUGCACGCUGGCGGCAGGCCUAACACAUGCAAGUCGCACGGUAACAGAAAGCAGCUUGCUGCUUUGCUGACGAGUGGCGGACGGGUGAGUAAUGUCUGGGAAACUGCCUGAUGGAGGGGGAUAACUACUGGAAACGGUAGCUAAUACCGCAUAACGUCGCAAGACCAAAGAGGGGGACCUUCGGGCCUCUUGCCAUCGGAUGUGCCCAGAUGGGAUUAGCUAGUAGGUGGGGUAACGGCUCACCUAGGCGACGAUCCCUAGCUGGUCUGAGAGGAUGACCAGCCACACUGGAACUGAGACACGGUCCAGACUCCUACGGGAGGCAGCAGUGGGGAAUAUUGCACAAUGGGCGCAAGCCUGAUGCAGCCAUGCCGCGUGUAUGAAGAAGGCCUUCGGGUUGUAAAGUACUUUCAGCGGGGAGGAAGGGAGUAAAGUUAAUACCUUUGCUCAUUGACGUUACCCGCAGAAGAAGCACCGGCUAACUCCGUG
rnacentral:rRNA from 1 species